UAUAAAAAGGUUUACAAAGGAACGGAAAAGGCUUUUUAAACAAGAAUUAUCUAUUUCAGAGAUAGAUACAAGUUCAGGUAUAAAUUUGGAGUAAAUUAAUUUUGCGUUUGGUUGAAAAUUGAGUUGUUUUCGAAAAUAAGAAAAAUAGCGUUUGGAUAGAUAAGAUGGAAUAAUAAGAAUAAUAGAUAGUUUAUAAAUAAAAAAAUAAUGAUAUUACCCCUUAUAUUUGUAGUAUCCCUUGUAUUCUGUAGCUGUGUGAUUUCAGCAUCUGAGGCUUGUCGACACAUUUGUAGAGUGUCGGGACAAGUCCGGAUUG
rnacentral:lncRNA from 1 species